UACGUAGGCAGCAAGCGUUGUUCGGAGUUACUGGGCGUAAAGGGUGUGUAGGCGGUUUUUUAAGUUUGGUGUGAAAUCUCCCGGCUCAACUGGGAGGGUGCGCCGAAUACUGAAAGACUAGAGUGCGGGAGAGGAAAGUGGAAUUCCUGGUGUAGCGGUGAAAUGCGUAGAUAUCAGGAGGAACACCAAUAGCGAAGGCAGCUCGCUGGGACGUUACUGACACUGAGGCGCGAAAGCGUGGGGAGCGAACAGG
rnacentral:rRNA from 1 species